rnacentral:rRNA from 1 species
GACGAACGCUGGCGGCGUGCUUAACACAUGCAAGUCGAACGGUAAGGCCCUUCGGGGUACACGAGUGGCGAACGGGUGAGUAACACGCGGGUGAUCUGCCCUGCACUUCGGGAUAAGCCUGGGAAACUGGGUCUAAUACCGGAUAGGACCCUGGGAUGCAUGUCCUGGGGUGGAAAGCUUUUGCGGUGUGGGAUGGGCCCGCGGCCUAUCAGCUUGUUGGUGGGGUGAUGGCCUACCAAGGCGACGACGGGUAGCCGGCCUGAGAGGGUGACCGGCCACACGGGGACUGAGAUACGGCCCAGACUCCUACGGGAGGCAGCAGUGGGGAAUAUUGCACAAUGGGCGCAAGCCUGAUGCAGCGACGCCGCGUGAGGGAUGACGGCCUUCGGGUUGUAAACCUCUUUCAGCACCGACGAAGCGCAAGUGACGGUAGGUGCAGAAGAAGGACCGGCCAACUACGUGCCAGCCGCCGCAGUAA